GAUGAACGCUGGCGGCGUGCCUAAUACAUGCAAGUCGAGCGAACAGACGAGGCUCUUGCUCCUCUGACGUUAGCGGCGGACGGGUGAGUAACACGUGGAUAACCUACCUAUAAGACUGGGAUAACUUCGGGAAACCGGAGCAAAUACCGGAUAAUCUAUUGAACCGCAUGGUUCAAUAGUGAAAGACGGUUUUGCUGUCUCUUCUCGAUGGUUCUCCGCUGUAUUAUCUAGUUGUUAAGGUCACGGCCUACCAAGGCAACGAUGCGUAACCGACCUGCGUGGGGGAUCGGCCACACGGGAACGGAGACACGGUCCAGGGUCCUACGGGAGGCAGCAGUAGGGAAUGUUCCGCAGUGGGCGAAAGCUUGGCGGAGCAGCGCCGCGUGAGUGAUGAAGGUCUUGGGAUCGUAAAGCUCUGUUAUGAGGGAAGAACAAAUGUGUAAGUAACUAUGCACGUCUUGACGGUACCUAGUAAGAAAGCCACGGCUAACUACGUG
rnacentral:rRNA from 1 species